rnacentral:rRNA from 1 species
AGGAACAUGUGGUUUAAUUCGAUGAUACGCGAGGAACCUUACCCGGGCUCGAACGGUGCAGGAAUAUGGUAGAGAUAUCAUAGCUAGCAAUAGUCUGUAUCGAGGUGCUGCAUGGUUGUCGUCAGCUCGUGCCGUGAGGUGUCGGCUUAAGUGCCAUAACGAGCGCAACCCUUGUCGUUAGUUACCAUCAAGUAAUGUUGGGGACUCUAGCGAGACUGCCACCGUAAGGUGUGAGGAAGGGGGGGAUGACGUCAAAUCAGCACGGCCCUUACGUCCGGGGCGACACACGUGUUACAAUGGUAGGUACAGAGGGGCGCUAUCCAGCGAUGGAGUGCGAAUCUCAAAAACCUAUCUCAGUUCGGAUCGGAGUCUGCAACUCGACUCCGUGAAGUUGGAUUCGCUAGUAAUCGCGCAUCAGCCAUGGCGCGGUGAAUACGUUCCCGGGCCUU